GGGAAAAGAAAAAGAAAAAGGAAAAUUUUUUUUUUAUUGAAACCCUAGCCGCCGCACGCCGCCGCGAACCCGAGCCGCCAAGCAUCCCCCCUCUCUGUUCAGCAGCGCAGCCGAGCCUGCAGUCGAAACCGAGCCGUCGCCGAGCUUCCAGCCGCGUCGGAGGAAUCGUCCAAGCCGGUCCGCGCAGCCGAGCACCGUGUCUGCAGCCGAAACUCGCCGCGCCGCGUCGAUCUGAGGAAGAGCAGCCAGCCGCGUCGCGUCGCUCCGAUCCAGCGCUGAGGAGCCGCAGCCGAUUCGUCAGCCAGCCGUGUCCGCAACGCCGUCGCUCACACGCCCAGCCACGUCGCGCCGCUUAGAUCCGACGCAGCGCAGCCGGAACGUUCGUCAGCCAGCCGUCGCGCCGACUGAAAUCCAGCAGCUAAGCCUCGCGCGCCUCCAGCCGUCGAACCCGAACCCGGAACCGCUCCACGCCCACUCGCCCGAACCCGAAACCGAACCCGCGUCCGUGCCCACACGUGCCCAGCUCUCCCCGCGCCGCCUGCACUGCAAGCCGAGCCGCGCCUCCUUACUGUCGCGAGCCGAGCCGCACGCGCAAGAUCCUUGCGCCAAGCCGAGCCGAGCCGAGCCGAUCCCUGUUCUCCUUCCAGCCAAGCCGCCAAGCCUAAUUUGGCCCCUUCCACCUAAUUUUGAUUAUUUCUCCUUAAGGGACGUCCUGGACCAAGUAACUGCUGCAGCGGGGGAUUUCUUCAGUAGGGGCUUGAGCACUGCAACCUCUCUCUAGGUUAGGACCUCGUCGCUUGGAAAGCAUACUGCCUCGCGGUUAGGACUCGUCAAGUAAAUCUCCAGGUAGAGGACGAGGCAAGGGCAAGGGCAAGCUGGCGAGCGACCCGAAGUGACCGUGGAGGGCCAUAGGGGCUACUGCUUCCGCUUAUCCUUAUUUUAGACUUUCGUAUUUGAGUUUGAGUACUUUUCAUUACUUAUCAUCUUUUUAUGUAGAUAGGGCCCGAGUAGGACUUUAGAACGCAUUACA